CUUUUGUAAAAAAAUCUCUUUUCUUUUAUCAAUUAUUCAGGACAAUUUGCGUUACAUUUAUUGUUACUCUGAGGUGGAUAGAAUUCUCAGCCGAUUAUUUCACGUCUGAAGAAACGUUGUCUACUGAAAACUAAAGAAAUGGGUAAUGAAAACACUCAUGUUGCCAAUGCUUGCAGCACUGAGAUCAUGAUCUACUUUGAAUCAAAGAAGUUACACAUCACAGAGAUAGCAUUUGAAGUCUCUACGGACACAGGUGUAAAAGCUUCAGAAAAGGAGGUUGAAGCGCAUAAUAACUUAGCUACAAAGUUCAAUGUGAACCUAAAGCCAGAUUCUAGGAUCCAGUACAUAAGAUGUCCUUCAAGAGAAUACAUCAAGAUUCCUCUGCAGGGAACAAUCUAUGUGACAGUCAUUGCAAAACGUGGAGAUAAGACUGAGCUGAUGUGCAUGAACUUCAUGGUUCCAAGUGAUCGAUCAAUCAUUGUCAUUGAUAAUGGGAUGGUCAAAUUUGCCAAGUAUGGCUCCUUGUGGAAGGAUGAGGAUGAAAGAUAUUACUAAGGCCAGAUGGAUUUGAGAAGAGUUCAUACUAUCCAUUCCUUGUCUGAAAUGAUCAGGUUUCUUCCGUGCCAAAUGAAUUCUUUCAAAUUCUAAUCUAAGCUUUUUCUUAAAAUAAAAUCAACUUGAAAUUAUUGAGAAUGGAGGGUGAGGAGAGACUGAUCUACUAAUGGCUAAAGGGAAAGGAGUGUGAAAAUGGAUUACCACUGAUUAUGGAGACUGGGGUGUAAAAAUAAAUAACUACUGGUUAUGGGGACAAGAGUGUUAAAAAUAGAUUUUUACUGUCAAUGUAGAGAAAUUGAUAGAAUCUUAUACUACUGGCUAUGGGAAAGGGAGACGGGGAAACUAUAACAAGUACUU